UAACCUGCCCAAGAGACUGGGAUAACACCUGGAAACAGAUGCUAAUACCGGAUAACAACACUAGACGCAUGUCUAGAGUUUAAAAGAUGGUUCUGCUAUCACUCUUGGAUGGACCUGCGGUGCAUUAGCUAGUUGGUAAGGUAACGGCUUACCAAGGCAAUGAUGCAUAGCCGAGUUGAGAGACUGAUCGGCCACAUUGGGACUGAGACACGGUCCAAACUCCUACGGGAGGCAGCAGCG
rnacentral:rRNA from 1 species